UGUAGUUCCAGGCACGUAGAAUUCAAUGCGUCGUCCAGCCGCGAAACGCAAACUCCGAACAACUUACUCCAUAGAAGUUAGAACUCACGUCAUUGAAUUCAACGUACUCUCUCUCCUUCCUCCUCUCCCUCUCGUCUUCAGGGCUUGUUCUACCUCUCUAAAGCCAAAACCCCUUGAUCGUUUAUCGCGAGCUGAUGCACUGAUGACUCAUUUACGGAGGGCUCGUUGCUACUGGAUCUGCAAACGUGGAUGGGAUGGAAUUGGGAGGGGAGGGAUACGAAUUUUAACGUCAUUUUGGACAGCUAGUCAUUCAUGUUUGGGCGUUUCAGAUUUUUAAUUGGUCCGAAUUAGAGAAGCGUGUCUAUUAAGAGAUUGCUUAAUGCAAACUCACGACCAGUUAAGCCAGCUAUGUUGGAGGCGGUGCAGGAGAUUGCCAUUUAUGUUCACAGGUUCCACAAUCUCGACUUGUUCCAACAAGGAUGGUAUCAAAUAAAGAUUACCAUGAGAUGGGAGGAUGAUACUUACACCUCACCCGGAAUUCCUGCAAGAGUUGUUCAAUACGAAGGUACUG